rnacentral:rRNA from 1 species
GACGAACGCUGGCGGCGCGCUUAACACAUGCAAGUCGAGCGAGAACCAGGGCUUCGGCCCUGGGGACAGCGGCGAACGGGUGAGUAACACGUGAGUAAUCUGCCCUCGGCACCGGGAUAGCCCGGGGAAACCCGGAUUAAUACCGGAUAGCCUCCGAAGCCUUCGGGCGUCGGAGCAAAGGUAGCUUCGGCCUCUGGCCGAGGAUGAGCUCGCGGCGGAUUAGCUUGUUGGUGGGGUAAUGGCCUACCAAGGCUCCGAUCCGUAGCUGGUCUGAGAGGACGAUCAGCCACACUGGGACUGAGACACGGCCCAGACUCCUACGGGAGGCAGCAGUGGGGAAUCUUGCCCAAUGGGCGAAAGCCUGAGGCAGCGACGCCGCGUGCGGGAAGAAGGCCCUCGGGUUGUAAACCGCUUUCAGGAGGGACGAAGCUACUCGGGUUAAUAGCCCAGAGGGUGACGGUACCUCCAGAAGAAGCCCCGGCUAACUACGUGCCAGCAGCCGCAGUAACAC